CAGGAUGAACGCUAGCGGCAGGCUUAACACAUGCAAGUCGAGGGGCAUCGGGAGUAGCAAUACUUGCCGGCGACCGGCGCAAGGGUGCGUAACGCGUGAGCAACAUGCCCGUAUCAGGGGGAUAAUCCAUGGAAACGUGGUCUAAUACCCCAUAGUAAUUAUGUAAGGCAUCUUAUAUAAUUUAAAGCUUUGGUGGAUACGGAUUGGCUCGCGUGACAUUAGCUAGAUGGUAAGGUAACGGCUUACCAUGGCUACGAUGUCUAGGGGUUCUGAGAGGAAGGCCCCCCACACUGGAACUGAGACACGGUCCAGACUCCUACGGGAGGCAGCAGUGAGGAAUAUUGGACAAUGGAUGGAAAUCUGAUCCAGCCAUGCCGCGUGCAAGGAAGACGGCCCUAUGGGUUGUAAACUGCUUUUGUAUGGGAGCAAUAAGGGCUACGCGUAGUCCGAUGAGAGUACCAUACGAAUAAGCACCGGCUAACUCCGUGCCAGCCGCCGC
rnacentral:rRNA from 1 species